rnacentral:tmRNA from 1 species
GGGGAUAUUUGGUUUUGACAGCAGGUAGAACAGGUAUGUAAGCACGCCGAGUAUGAACACCACUCGUUAAUAGGGUUCGCCAUUAUAACUGGCAACAAUACUGUAGCUCUCGCUGCGUAAUCGAAGUAUAGUAGAUUCGCCUAGUUUCAGCACAAGGUGCUGAACCGAGACAUCGCUCCAAGCCAACGCCUAGAGGCUGAUAGGAUCAAGCGGUGCGGAAAUAUCAGGGCUGGUUCUUGUAGGCUGCGAUGCAAGAAUGAGAUAUAGCAGAUAAGGCAAUGGUUGGUGGCUUGGGUCUUGCUAUUGCUCGAAAAUUAAGGCCAAGAUAAGCGUGUAGAAAGCAUAUUGGUUCCUUGUUUGGACGCGGGUUCGAAUCCCGCUAUCUCCACUA